GCGGCAGCCUGACUGGAAGCGGGCGCGGCGUGCGGCGUCGCAGGAAUUGCUGGUCCUGAAGCGCCCUGCGGGCGUUGACCCGGUUUUCCCCUGGCUCCCCUUAUAAUAAUAGGAAGAGCCCCGCGCCACCAAUGUGGAGCCGCCCCACACUGAGGCCGCCUAGGAGAUUUUUGGCGUCGCAAUGGCCUGCAGGGUCAGCGUUAGCGUCCCUCCCUCCUUUCUUCUACCUGUACCUUCUCCGAUGCUAGCUAAAGGCAGUCAUUACUCUAUAGGAAAGGUGGACACAGAGCACCGAGCUGAUCUCCCUGUGCUAUGCGGCUGCUUCCCACUAGCUAUCGAUUUUACAGUUGGUAGUGUAUAUAUGUCACUGCCACUCUCUCACUACGAGUUCUCUUAGUUAUGUACCUAGGAGUGGAAUCGCUGGGUCAUAUGGUAUCUCCACAACUAGAGAAAGCCCGCAUGCAGCAACGGAGACUCAA